rnacentral:rRNA from 1 species
CGAAGGGGGCUAGCGUUGUUCGGAAUUACUGGGCGUAAAGCGCACGCAGGCGGCUCGUUGAAUUAGAAGUGAAAGCCCUGGGCUCAACCCGGGAAUUGCUUUUAAGACUGGCGAGCUAGAGUCCGGAAGAGGGUAGUGGAAUUCCCAGUGUAGAGGUGAAAUUCGUAGAUAUUGGGAAGAACACCGGUGGCGAAGGCGGCUACCUGGUCCGGCACUGACGCUCAGGUGCGAAAGCGUGGGGAGCAAACAGGAUUAGAUACCCUGGUAGUCCACGCUGUAAACGAUGAGUGCUAGUUGUUGGGGUGCUUGCACCUCAGUGACGCAGCUAACGCAUUAAGCACUCCGCCUGGGGAGUACGGUCGCAAGAUUA